rnacentral:lncRNA from 1 species
AGGAAGAGAGGGAGUGAAGGAGGGCGGGGAGAGAGAGAGAGAGAGAGGAAAGCUGGAGGCAGAAGCACCACGCCACCAUCGCUGCCAGUUGAGCCAAAGGGGGGUCGGUGCAAGAAGAGGGAGAGAGAGAGGAAGUUAGAGGGGUAAACAGGGGAUCCGGGAGCUCCCCAUGCUUGGCUUAGCCACCGAUUAAGCAAUGAGAUACCGAGGUCUCGAUGGAGGGAGGGGGAGAGAGAGAGGGAGGAUAGAAGAGAAGGUUACCUAUCAGUCAAGGGUGGAGAGGGCAAAAUAACCACGACGCUCAAGCAAAUAGGAGGGCGAGAUGAAAACCCUCGAUGAGCGAAGCAACAAAGUGAUGAAGACUUGUCCCUGUUUCGAUUUUAUGUGCUAAACCGUGCCAGUAACUGAUUGGUAUGGUUCGUCAAUGUUCAACAAUCCACGAUUUCAUUGGUUUUCCUACUAAUAAAUACAUAAAAAAAAUUUGCUUAUUGGCAAGGUUAACAAAAGCCAAUUUUGAUGACCUAGGGUUCAGUGAAGGAUUAAUUAACAUCUAAAUUAGUUACAAGGUUUUUGUGUGUUCAUGUACUUUGAUAGAUGUGUUUUGGAUGGUGGCAGGAGGGGUGGAGUGGUUUUGUGAUUAGAAGCCCAAACUCUAGAGUGGUGUUGGCCGAAGGGAGCCUGAUCUUAGACAUCUCAGUUCCAAGGGUGAAGCUGAGGGCAACAUAGGCUGGUUUUAGUCAUGCUCGACGUGUGCUGCGGGCCAAUGCUAUUUUGCCCGAAGAUGACUCGGCCACUGUGAUUGGUUGGAUCCGAGGAUAUCCUGGCGACAUGAUGGAAGCCCCUCUUUUGGUAAUAUAGAAAAACUAAGUAUAAUUGGUGUGUUGGGUGGUUGGUGAUUCAAGAACUACCUCAAGGCAUCACCUAAAAUCAGGAGAAAAUGAUAGGUAGAGCUAGGGCUAACUCGGGUUAGCACUUAAACUCUUUCAAGACAAAGUUUGAUCAAAAUGCUCCAAGUUUUUUCAGUGAUCCAAAAACAUGAAUACAAAAUACAAAAGGCAAAUAUUUAAAAGCCCCUAAAGACCUCAACAACUUCCUAAAUUAAAGAACAAUUCAAAUUUCAAAAACAAUUCAAAUUUCAAAUUCAAAUUUCCUAAAUUAAAGACGAGUGAAUCCUCCUUAAAUCAAGGAGUAUACCAAAACCAAACUUCCUAAAAUAAAAGACUCCAUAAGCAAGUAAACUUUCUAAACCAAUUUCUACACCAAUAAUCAAAGAAUUUCCUUCUAAAGCCCCACUCCUAAAAAUAGGAAUGUGCCUCCUUAGUCUUUCCAUCUUCCAGGCACUUUUCUUCUUUUCAGCCACCAAGAAUUGCGCCUAGCUCCCAUCCAUGCGUGCCAUGCAUGCCACCUUGCUUGUCAACCGUGCCUUGCAUGCACUCUUCCCUUCCAACCGAGCCAUGCAUACAACCAAUUGCCCCUUGCCUUGCCUUCCUAGCCUUGGCUCGCCUUGCCCUCCUUGUGGCAUUUCUUAUGGCCUUCCUCGUGUCUCCAUCAGUCCUCCCCCCUUCAAGACCGACCUUGUCCUCAAGGUCUAGCUUGAAAAAUUGCUCCUUGAGAACUUGGACACUCUCCCAUGUAGCAUCCUCAGCUGCAAGUCCUCUCCAUUGAACCCAAGCUUCGGUUCUAACUUGGUAACCUUUCCUCACUUGCCCAUACUCCAAUAUCUUCUUUGGUUGAACAUCAACCAUUCCUUCCUCAUCCACCAUCGGCAAGUCAUUGACAACCUUGCUUGGAUCUACAACUUUCCUCCUAAGCCAUAAAAUAUGAAAAAUCGGGUGAAUGUGAACCCCGGUUGGCAAAUCUAACUUGUAAGCAAGUUGUCCACACUUCUCCAAGAUUUGAUAAGGACCAAAAUACUUAGCCCUCAAUUUGCUAAGACCCGCCUUUGACAAAGCCUUGUGCUUCCUUAGUAGGUACUUGAGAUAGACCCACUCACCCGGUUCAAAGAACUCCAUGCUCCUCCCUUUGUCAAAGUGCUUCUUCAUUUGCUCUUGAGCCCUCACCAAGUUCUUCCUGACCUCCUUCAAGACUUCAUCUCUUUCUCUACGCUCCAUGUCCACCAAGUCAUUAGGUGAGCUCCCCACUUUAUAGGCCACAAGUGUAGGGGGCAGCCUUCCAUAGAGCCUCAAACGGUGACAUAUUGAUUGAACGGUUAUUUGAGGUAUUAAACGAAAAUUCUAUCCAAGAGAGAUGCUCCUCCCACUUCAUAGGAUAUUGGGACACAUAACACCUAAGAUAUUGCUCAAGAGUCCGGUUAGUUACGUUGCUUUGCCCAUCGAUUUGGGGGUCGUAAGUGGAGCUUCUUCUACUCCAUGCCAUGCAUCUCGAAGAACUCUCUUUGACCGAAUGCACACUUAGACAACCUAAUGAAGAAUGAGUUGUCUAGUAGCACCCGGAUCACCUCCUCCAAGUGUCUCAAAUGAUCACUCUAACUUCUUGAAUAUACAAGAAUGUCAUCGAAAAAGACCAAAACAUACCUCCUCAAGUAGGGCUUGAAGAUUUGGUUCAUGCAUGUUUGAAAGGUUGAUGGGGCGUUGCAAAGCCCAAAUGGCAUGACCAAGUACUCGAAGUGGCCAUUGUGAGUACGAAAGGCGGUCUUAUGAAUGUCCCCCUUGUGCACCCUUAUUUGGUGAUAGCCGGCUCUAAGAUCUAGCUUGGAGAAGAACAUAGAUCUUUCAAGCUUAUCCAACAUGUCAUCAAUCGUUGGGAUAUGAAGCCGAUCUUUGAUGGUAGCCUCAUUUAAGGCCCUAUAAUCCGUGCAAAAGCACCAUGUGCCAUCCUUCUUCUUCACAAGUAGGACCGGACUAGAAAAUGGGCUAGUGCUUGGCUGAAUCAACCCAUUGGCCAACAUCUCAUUUACUUGCUUCUCAAUCUCCGCCUUUUGAAAGUAUGCAUACCGGUAUGGGGCUACAUUCACCGGUUUGGCUUCCUCCUUUAAUGGAAUUCGAUGAUCAAACUCCCUCAAAGAUGGCAAAAUCUUAGGUUCCUCCAUCACCUUAAAAUAUCUCAUCAACACCUCUCUCAAAUCCCUCGGUAUAUCAGCCUCCAACUCCACACCCGUAGCUCCACUCUCAACUCCCUCACCCUCACUCAAAGCCCUUGGUUAAGAGGCAAUGGUAAUAGCAAAGCAUUGCCCCCCAUGCCUCAUGAUCUUCUCUAUCUCAUUUAGCCCGAUAGCUUUACCUCCACCUCUACCAUUCAUUCUCAAAGUAACCCAUUUUCUGCUCAACAUAAACCCCAUAAUCAUUUUUUUGUAAUCUGACACCACCUUUCCUAGCUCUCCUAACCAUUGCACACCCAACACUACAUCCAACCCCACAAUCGGCAAGAAGUACAAAUCCACCACAACCUCAAUCCCUUGCAUCCUCAAACUCACUCCCUUAUACAUCUCUUAACAUACCAACCUAUCUCCACUUGACACCUUGACCUCAAAAGGGUCAAUACUAGUCAAGGAUAACUUCAAACAUUCGGCCACCUUAGAGUUAAUGAAGUUCAAAGAAGAACCAGUAUCAAUAAGAACUGUUACCUCCAUCUUACCAAUGUGAGCUUGUGUCCUCAUGGUUCUUAGACCCGCAACCCCGGCCAAGGCAUGUAUGGAGAUAUGAGGCUCACCAUGCUCGGCCUCAUCAUGCUCCUCCUCACAAGCUUCACUGUGGCCCUCCUCCUCUAGGCUUCUCUCCUCCUCUAGGACUGGCUCAAUGAGAUAAACAUGCUUCACCUUGCACUUAUGCCUCGGUGUGAACCUCUCAUUGCAAUUGAAGCAAAGUCCCUUCUUUCUUCUUUUUUGUCAUCUCCUUCCAUAUCAACUUCUUUAUUUCCUCGAUUGGUGGCUUGCCUCCACCAGUUGUACCCCCACUAGGACCUUCCAGAGAGAAGCCCUUGCUAAAAUUCUUAUUAGCCCCAAAUUUUGAAGCAAUAGGGGCUGUUUUCUUCACCUCAAACCAGCUGCUCCUCCUCAAGUCUUGAAGUUGAUCAUCCUUCUUUCUUGCAAUCUCCAAGGUUUGCAUUAGUGUCUUGGGCUUCUUAAGCUUUACCUCAGCAGCCAAUUCUCUCUUCAAACCGCCCACAAAAGACCCAAUAAAAGCCUUCUCCGACCAGCCAUGCGCCCUAGUAGAUAGUAGAUAGGUGCUCGAAUUUCUUUGGAUAGUCCCUCAAGAAACUCGAUUGCUUGACCUUCGAAAGAGCCUCAUGGUAAUCAACAUAACCGGUUGGACCGAACCUCCUCAUGAGCUCUUUGACAAACUUUUUCCAUUUCAACUCUUUCCUUUGAGCUCUAUAGGUCUUCCUCAUCCAUUGCCACCAUUGAUUAGCCUCUCCUUCUAGGAAGUAAGCAGCAUAGGAUACCCUUGCCUGACCUUUCAUGGGAUUGUGCUUAAAGUAUUGCUCGGCCCUACUCACCCAUGUGCUUGGGUCAUCUCCAUUGAACUUAUAAAAGUCCAUCUUAAGCUUACCUGUCCCUCCCCUUGGCCUUCUUUCCCAUCCUUCUUUUCUCUCUCUUCGGUCUUCUUCCUCCUCUUCACUCCCUUUGGUUGAAUCAUCCUCUUGGCCUGAAGAUGCUUCACUAGAAGAACUCGAAUCCUCUAUCCUCUCGAGGCGCAACUCCCUCUAGAACCAACAGAACCUCUAAGGCUUUGGUCCACUUCGGCCCUUCUUAUAUUCCCCCUUGGUUCUCCACGUCUUGACCCUCUUCCUCCUUGUUGAUUCACGGUCAUAACAAGUUGAUGCAACACCUCUUCUAACCGGCCAAGUCUCUGGCAGCAGUGUUUUAAGCCUCUAAGGUUGCUUCCAAGGCCUUACUCCGCUCCCUAUGAGUUGGUUGUCUUUCAGCCAUGAUCUCUCCUCCUCGGCUUUAAUGGCUUCCUCUUCCACGGGUUGGAUGCAAUCUCAAUGAAAGCACCAAUGAUGGAAGCCCCUCUUUUGGAAUAUAGAAAAACUAAGUAUAAUUGGUGUGUUGAGUGGUUGGUGAUUCAAGGACUACCUCAAGGCAUCACCUAAAAUCAAGAGAAAAUGAUAGGUAGAGCUAGGACUACCUCGGAUUAGUACCUAGACUCUUUCAAGAUAAAGUUUGAGCAAAGUGCUCCAAGUUUUUUCAUUGAUCCACAAACAUGAAUACAAAAUACAAGAGGCAAAUAUGUAAAGGCCUCUCUAAAGAUCUCAACAACUUCCUAAAUUAAAGAACAAUUCAAAUUUCAAAAACAAAUCAAAUUUCAAAUUCAAAUUGCCUAAAUUAAAUAUGAGUGACCCUUCUUAAAUCAAGGAGUAUACCAAAACCAAACUUCCUAAAAUAAAAAACUCCAUAAGUAAGUAAACUUUCUAAACCAAUUUUCACGCCAACAAUCAAGGAAUUUCCCUUCUAAAGCCCCACUCCUAAAAAAUAGGAAUGCACCUCCUCAGUCUCUCCUUCUUCCAAGCACUUUCCUUCUUUUCAGCCACCAAGAAUUGUGCC